GACGAACGCUGGCGGCGUGCUUAACACAUGCAAGUCGAACGGAAAGGCCCUGCUUUUGUGGGGUGCUCGAGUGGCGAACGGGUGAGUAACACGUGAGUAACCUGCCCUUGACUUUGGGAUAACUUCAGGAAACUGGGGCUAAUAACGGAUAGGAGCUCCUGCUGCAUGGUGGGGGUUGGAAAGUUUCGGCGGUUGGGGAUGGACUCGCGGCUUAUCAGCUUGUUGGUGGGGUAGUGGCUUACCAAGGCUUUGACGGGUAGCCGGCCUGAGAGGGUGACCGGCCACAUUGGGACUGAGAUACGGCCCAGACUCCUACGGGAGGAAGCAGUGGGGAAUAUUGCACAAUGGGCGGAAGCCUGAUGCAGCAACGCCGCGUGCGGGAUGACGGCCUUCGGGUUGUAAACCGCUUUCGCCUGUGACGAAGCGUGAGUGACGGUAAUGGGUAAAGAAGCACCGGCUAACUACGUG
rnacentral:rRNA from 1 species